UACGGAGGAUCCAAGCGUUAUCCGGAAUCAUUGGGUUUAAAGGGUCCGUAGGCGGUUUUGUAAGUCAGUGGUGAAAGCCCAUCGCUCAACGGUGGAACGGCCAUUGAUACUGCAAGACUUGAAUUAUUAGGAAGUAACUAGAAUAUGUAGUGCAGCGGUGAAAUGCUUAGAUAUUACAUGGAAUACCAAUUGCGAAGGCAGGUUACUACUAAUUGAUUGACGCUGAUGGACGAAAGCGUGGGGAGCGAACAGG
rnacentral:rRNA from 1 species